rnacentral:rRNA from 1 species
UGGGGAAUAUUGCACAAUGGAGGGAACUCUGAUGCAGCGACGCCGCGUGAACGAAGAAGGCUUUCGAGUCGUAAAGUUCUUUUAUAUGGGAAGAUAAUGACGGUACCAUAAGAAAAAGCCCCGGCUAACUACGUGCCAGCAGCCGCGGUAAUACGUAGGGGGCUAUCGUUGUCCGGAAUUACUGGGCGUAAAGGGUUCGCAGGCGGAAAUGCAAGCCAGGUGUAAAAGGCAGUAGCUUUACUACUGUAAGCAUUUGAAACUGCAUAUCUUGAGAAGAGUAGAGGUAAGUGGAAUGUUUAGUGUAGCGGUGAAAUGCGUAGAUAUUAAAAAGAAUACCGGUGGCGAAGGCGACUUACUGGGCUCAUUCUGACGCUGAGGAACGAAAGAGUGGGUAGCAAACAGG